GGAGAGGUCGCGUAGUGGCCGAGCGCACGCGCCUGGAAAGCGUGUAGGCCCCCACAAGGGGUCUCGUGGGUUCGAAUCCCACCCUCUCCG
rnacentral:tRNA from 1 species